CUCAGUGUCAAAGCACCAGGGGAGAGUCACCCCUGUCCUGCCCUCCCUGCUCCCUUACCUAGCUGAAGUCCCUUAGCUAGCUUUACACUUUUUAUUGCUGUUGGGAGGAGAUGAUAUUGAAAGAAAAAAACCUGAAGGCAGGUCAAGGUUGAAAGCAGAACAAUACAUUACCGGAAAGAGCUAGGCGAAAAUAUUUCCAUAGAAAAUCUCUCUGUCACUAAACCUGAAUGAAGGGCAGUAUAUUACAACUCAGAAAGCAACCCUGCCAAUUUUGUCGUUACCCAGACACUUCUCUCCUCCAAGGAAGGCAGGAAGGUGGGAGCAGGAAUCCAGGGACCAGGCAGAGGUUCAAGAGCCAGGCAAAAUUAAAAAAUGAACCAGAAUCUCGCAGCCAGGAGUGCUGCGCAGACCAGGUUAAGAAGAAGGCCAGUCAGGAGGUGAAAAGGAAAGCAGAAGCAGCAGUCAAGGCAGGGCAAGAUGGAGGUGCCUGUACCAAGACAUAGGAAAAGGCUGGUGCAUCUGAGGAAGAAACACCUGGUGAAUCUGGGGUAGAGACACGAGUGGCCCAGGAGACACAUGGAUUGAUGGUGUCAUGAUCUCUUAUAAGAAAAAUCUUGCCCAAGGUAUUAUGCUGAUCGCAUCUUGAAAAGGUUGGCAAUUGGGACAAAGAACAGGAUGCAACAUUUUCCCAUUCAAAAAUGAGGAGUGGACUUCUUGAACAACGGCUGGGAAAGGUCUGAAAGGCUCCUGUAGGGAGAAACGAAAUGGAUGCAUCAAAGUUUCUCUCACAUGUCUUUUAGA